ACUCGUAGACUCCUACGGGAGGCAGCAGUGGGGAAUAUUGCACAAUGGGCGCAAGCCUGAUGCAGCCAUGCCGCGUGUAUGAAGAAGGCCUUCGGGUUGUAAAGUACUUUCAGCAGUGAGGAAGGUGGAUAUGCUUAAUAGCAUACUCAUUUGACGUUAGCUGCAGAAGAAGCACCGGCUAACUCCGUGCCAGCAGCCGCGGUAAUACGGAGGGUGCGAGCGUUAAUCGGAAUUACUGGGCGUAAAGCGCAUGCAGGUGGUUUGUUAAGUCAGAUGUGAAAGCCCGGGGCUCAACCUCGGAAUUGCAUUUGAAACUGGCAAACUAGAGUACUGUAGAGGGGGGUAGAAUUUCAGGUGUAGCGGUGAAAUGCGUAGAGAUCUGAAGGAAUACCGGUGGCGAAGGCGGCCCCCUGGACAGAUACUGACACUCAGAUGCGAAAGCGUGGGGAGCAAACAGGAUUAGAUACCCUGGUAG
rnacentral:rRNA from 1 species